UACGUAGGGUGCAAGCGUUAUCCGGAAUUAUUGGGCGUAAAGAGCUCGUAGGCGGUUUGUCGCGUCUGCUGUGAAAACUCGGGGCUCAACUCCGAGCUUGCAGUGGGUACGGGCAGACUAGAGUGCGGUAGGGGAGACUGGAAUUCCUGGUGUAGCGGUGGAAUGCGCAGAUAUCAGGAGGAACACCAAUAGCGAAGGCAGCUCGCUGGGACGGUACUGACGCUGAGGCGCGAAAGCGUGGGGAGCGAACAGG
rnacentral:rRNA from 1 species